rnacentral:rRNA from 1 species
CCUACGGUGGGCUGCAGUGAGGAAUGUUGGUCAAUGGCCGAGAGGCUGAACCAGCCAAGUCGCGUGAGGGAAGACGGCCCUACGGGUUGUAAACCUCUUUUGUCGGGGAGCAAAGCGAGUCACGUGUGACUCAUUGAGAGUACCCGAAGAAAAAGCAUCGGCUAACUCCGUGCCAGCAGCCGCGGUAAUACGGAGGAUGCGAGCGGUAUCCGGAUUUAUUGGGGUUAAAGGGUGAGCAGGCGGAGGUGCAAGUCAGCGGUAAAAUUGCGGGGCUCAACCCCGUACUGCCGUUGAAACUGCAUCCCUUGAGUGCGCGAGAAGUAUGCGGAAUGCGUGGUGUAGCGGUGAAAUGCAUAGAUAUACGGAGGAAAACCAGUGGCGAAGGCGGCCUGCUGGACAUUAACUGACGCUGAGGAGCGAAAGCGUGGGGAGCAAACAGGAUUAGAUACCCGAGUAGUC